rnacentral:rRNA from 1 species
AAAUCAGGAGGGACUACCCGCUGAACUUAAGCAUAUCCAAUAAAUUGGAAGAAAAAAAACUACAAGGAUUCCCCUAGUAACUGCGAGUGAAGCGGGAAAAGCUCAAAUUUAAAAUCUGGCAGCAUUUUGCUGUCCGAGUUGUAAUCUAGAGAAGUGUUUUCUGUGCUGGACCGUGUACAAGUCCCCUGGAAUGGGGCUGUCAUAGAGGGUGAGAAUCCCGUCUUUGACACGGACUCCCAGUGCUCUGUGAUACACUCUCAAAGAGUCGAGUUGUUUGGGAAUGCAGCUCAAAAUGGGUGGUGAACUCCAUCUAAAGCUAAAUAUUGGCGAGAGACCGAUAGCGAACAAGUACCGUGAGGGAAAGAUGAAAAGCACUUUGGAAAGAGAGUGAAACAGUACGUGAAAUUGCUGAAAGGGAAACGCUUAAAGUCAGUCGUGUUUGCUAGGAUUCAGCCCUUCCCCGGGUGUAUUUUCUAGUAGACAGGCCAACAUCAUUUUUGGUCAUUGGAAAAGGGUAGUAGGAAUGUGGCACUCUUUCGGGAGUGUGUUAUAGCCUGCUAUCAUAUACAGUGACUAGGAGUGAGGACUGCCAUUGUAGGAUGUUGGCGUAAUGGCUUUAAACGACCCGUCUUGAAACACGGACCAAGGAGUCUAACAUGCCUGCGAGUGUUUGGGUGUUCAAACCCAUGCGCGUAAUGAAAGUAAAAGUUUGGGAAGGCUGUCAAAGGCCUGCACCGACGCCCGGACCUGAGAUUUAUCGACGGUUCUGCGGUAGAGCAAGUAUGUUAGGACCCGAAAGAUGGUGAACUAUGCCUGAAUAGGGUGAAGCCAGAGGAAACUCUGGUGGAGGCUCGUAGCGAUUCUGACGUGCAAAUCGAUCGUCAAAUUUGGGUAUAGGGGCGAAAGACUAAUCGAACCAUCUAG